GACGAACCGUCCAAACGUUAUUCGGAUUCACUGGGCUUAAAGGGUGCGUAGGCGGCUCAGAAAGUAGGGUGUGAAAGCCCUCGGCUCAACCGAGGAAUUGCGCCCUAAACUACUGGGCUUGAGGAACGCAGAGGUAGGCGGAACUUACGGUGGAGCGGUGAAAUGCGUUGAUAUCGUAAGGAACACCAGGAGCGAAAGCGGCUUACUGGGCGUUUUCUGACGCUGAGGCACGAAAGCCAGGGGAGCGAACGGG
rnacentral:rRNA from 1 species